AUUGUCAGUGAAGCUCAUAACGAUCCUUGAAGAUCCGAGUAAGAUUAUCUCAUCACACCAGGUCGUACCCAUAACCGCAUCAGGUCUCCAAGGUUAGCAGCCUCUGGUCGAUAGAAUAACGUAGAUAAGGGAAUUCGGCAAAUUAGAUCCGUAACUUCGGGAAAAGGAUUGGCUCUGAGGGUUGAGUGUGGUGCCAAUGAAAUGGAACUAGGAUCUGUACUGGUGUUGGUCGCAAGAUCGAAACCGGCAUGGAGAGAAGGAAAAUUUUUGCGGCUAGCACAAUUAACAACCGACUCAGAACUGAAGCGGACAAGGGGAAUCCGACUGUUUAAUAAAAACAUAGCUUUGUGAUGGCCUCAAAAGGUGUUGACACAAAGUGAUUUCUGCCCAGUGCUUUGAAUGUGAAUAUGAAGUAAUUUAUAGAAGCUCAGGUAAACGGCGGGAGUAACUAUGACUCUCUUAAGGUAGCCAAAUGCCUCGUCAUCUAAUUAGUGACGCGCAUGAAUGGAUUAAUGAGAUUCCCACUGUCCCUAUCUACCAUCUAGCGAACCCAUAGCCAAGGGAACGAGCUUGGAAUAAUCAGCGGGGAAAGAAGACCCUGUUGAGCUUGACUCUAGUCCGACUUUGUGAAAUGACUUUCGAGAUAUAGCCUAAGUGGGAGCUAACGCGCCGCUGUAAAACCACUGCUCGCUUAGCCAUUUUACUUACUCCAUGAAGAAGUGGCCGAUUUUUCGGUUCUUAGAUUUAAGCCCUGACUCGUAUCAGGGCAAGCUUUGUGGAGGACACAGUCAGGUGGGGAGUUUGACUGGGGCGGUACAUCUGUUAAAACGUAACGCAGGUGUCCUACGAUGAGCUCAAAGAGAACAGAAAUCUCUUGUAGACCAAAAGGGGAAAAGCUCACUUGAUUUUGAUUUUCAGUACUAAUACAAACCGCGAAAGCGUGGCCUAUCGAUCCUUUAACUUUACAAGUUUUAAGCUAGAGGUGUCAGAAAAGUUACCACAGGGAUAACUGGCUUGUGGCAGCCAAGCGCCCAUAGCGACGUUGCUUUUUGAUCCUUCGAUGUCGGCUCUUCCUAUCAUUGUGAUGUACAAGUCACAACGUGUUGGAUUGUUCACCCGUUAAUAGGGAACGUGAGCUGGGUUUAGACCGUCGUGAGACAGGUUAGUUUUACCCUACUGAUGAAUCGAUGUUGCGACAGUAAUCUUACUUAGUACGAGAGGAACCGUUAGAUCAGAUAAUUGGUUAAUACGGUUAGCUGAAAAGCUAAUGCCGUGAAGCUACCAUCUGUUGGAUUAUGACUGAAAGCCUCUAAGUCAGAAACCAUGCUGGAAAGCGACGUCCAAUCAAUAAUAAAUGAAAAAGAAUAAGGGAAACCUUUAGUUCAGUAAGGGGACGGUCAAACUCGAAAGAGUAUAGCCAAACCCAGAAUAAAUUUUAAUUAUUAUUGU
rnacentral:rRNA from 1 species